rnacentral:rRNA from 1 species
UACGAAGGGGGCUAGCGUUGCUCGGAAUCACUGGGCGUAAAGCGCACGUAGGCGGCUUUCUAAGUCAGGGGUGAAAUCCUGGAGCUCAACUCCAGAACUGCCUUUGAUACUGGAGAGCUUGAGUCCGGGAGAGGUGAGUGGAACUCCGAGUGUAGAGGUGAAAUUCGUAGAUAUUCGGAAGAACACCAGUGGCGAAGGCGGCUCACUGGACCGGUACUGACGCUGAUGCGCGAAAGCGGUGGGGAGCAAACGGG